rnacentral:rRNA from 1 species
AACGAACGCUGGCGGCAGGCCUAACACAUGCAAGUCGAGCGAGAUCUUCGGGUCUAUCGGCGGACGGGUGAGUAACGCGUGGGAAUAUUCCUCUUUGUACGGAAUAGCCUCGGGAAACUUGGAUUAAUACCGUAUGUGCCCUUUUGGGGUAAGAUUUAUCGCCAAGUGAUUUGCCCGCGUUGGUUUAGGUUGUUGGUUGGGUAAUGGCAUACCAAGCCGAGGAUCCAUAGCUGGUUUGAGAGGAUGAUAAGACACACUGGGACUGAGACACGGCACAGAAUACGACGGGAGGCAGGAGAGGGGAAUAUUAGAAAAUGGGGGAAAACCUGAUCAAGCCAUGACGGGUGAGUGAUGAAGGGAUUAGGGUUGUAAAGCUCUUUCAGAUGGGAAGAUAAUGACGGUAACAGAAGAAGAAGCCACGGCUAACUCCGUG